AUACGGAGGGUGCAAGCGUUAUCCGGAUUCAUUGGGUUUAAAGGGUGCGCAGGCGGAAUGAUAAGUCAGUGGUGAAAUCCUACAGCUUAACUGUAGAACUGCCAUUGAUACUGUCAUUCUUGAGUACACUUGAAGUGGGCGGAAUGUAUCAUGUAGGGGUGAAAUGCAUAGAUAUGAUACAGAACUCCGAUAGCGAAGGCAGCUCACUAAAUUGUAACUGACGCUCAGGCACGAAAGCGUGGGGAGCAAACAGGAUUAGAAACCCCUGUAGUCC
rnacentral:rRNA from 1 species